rnacentral:rRNA from 1 species
UAAACAUGUCUUGAACUGCUCAGCUAGAGGUUGAGAGAGGUAGCUGGAAUUCCCAGUGUAGGAGUGAAAUCCGUAGAUAUUGGGAGGAACACCGAUGGCGUAGGCAGGCUACUGGCUCAUACCUGACGCUCAGGCACGAAAGCGUGGGGAGCGACCGGGAUUAGAUACCCCGUUAGUCCACGCCGUAAACUAUGGAUGCUAGCUGUGUUCAGUAUCGACCCUGGACGUAGCGAAGCUAACGCGUUAAGCAUCCCGCCUGUGGAGUACGGUCGCAAGACUAAAACAUAAAGGAAUUGACGGGGACCCGCACAAGCGGUGGAGCGUGUUCUUUAAUUCGAGGGUAAGCGAAGAACCUUACCAGGGCUUGACAUCCCGAGAAUUUCUCCGAAAGGAGAGAGUGCCGUUUGGAAUUCGGUGACAGGUGAUGCAUGGCCGUCGUCAGCUCGUGUCGUGAGAUGUUUGGUUAAGUCCAUUAACGAGCGCAACCCUUAUAGUUAGUUGGAUUUUUCUAGCUAGACUGCCCCGGUAACGGGGAGGAAGGAGGGGAUGAUGUCAGGUCAGUAUUUCCCUUACGUCCUGGGCUAGAAACACGCUACAAUGGCCGGUACAAAGGGCAGCCAAGUCGCGAGACGGAGCAAAUCCCAUCAAAGCCGGUCUCAGUUCGGAUUGCAGGCUGAAACUCGCCUGCAUGAAGCCGGAAUCGCUAGUAACGGUAGGUCAGCACACUACCGUGAAUACGUUCCCGGGUCUUGUACACACCGCCCGUCAAACCAUGAAAGUCGCCAAUACCUGACGUCCUAGCUAGUCUAGGCCUAAGGUAGGGGAGAUGAUUGGGGUUAAGUCGUAACAAGGUAACCGUA